AGUCCUUCAGCUCAGUCGGUAGAGCGCCCGCCCCAAAUCACCAUUUCAUAGCUUGUAUAGACUGGCGGGAGGCCAUUGGCUCGAAUCCAAUAGGAACUG